rnacentral:snRNA from 1 species
AUACUUACCUGGUGCCGGAGCCUCGUUGAUCACCUAGGACGAGCCCCCACCAGGGCGGGGCGCGGGCAUUGCACUGCGCUUGCGUUGACCCUUGCCACUACCCCAUACUGGGGCAGGCGGGGCAUGCAAAUUGC